GGAAAUGUACCUAAGCAUGAUUAAGGACUACUUUGAUAGAGUAUACUACGCGGGUUAAAAUCCCCCCAUUUCCU
rnacentral:tRNA from 1 species